CAGCCGCCGCGGGAAUACGAGGGGAGCUAGCGUUAUUCGGAAUUACUGGGCGUAAAGCGCACGUAGGCGGCUUUGUAAGUUAGAGGUGAAAGCCCAGAGCUCAACUCUGGAAUUGCCUUUAAGACUGCAUCGCUUGAAUCCAGGAGAGGUGAGUGGAAUUCCGAGUGUAGAGGUGAAAUUCGUAGAUAUUCGGAAGAACACCAGUGGCGAAGGCGGCUCACUGGACUGGUAUUGACGCUGAGGUGCGAAAGCGUGGGGAGCAAACAGGAUUAGAUACCCCAGUAGUCCCUGUCUCUUAUAC
rnacentral:rRNA from 1 species